rnacentral:tRNA from 2 species
GGGGCUGCUAUAGCUCAGCUGGGAGAGCGCUUGCAUGGCAUGCAAGAGGUCAGCGGUUCGAUCCCGCUUAGCUCCACCA